rnacentral:rRNA from 1 species
CCUACGGGAGUCAGCAGUGGGGAAUAUUGCACAAUGGGCGAAAGCCUGAUGCAGCACCGCCGCGUGAAGGAAGAAGGGUUUCGGCUCGUAAACUUCUAUCAACAGGGACGAAAGAAAUGACGGUACCUGACUAAGAAGCCCCGGUUAACUACGUGCCAGCACCCGCGGUCAUACGUAGGGGGCAAGCGUUAGCCGGAUUUACUGGGUGUAAAGGGUGAGUAGGCGGCAUGGUAAGCCAGAUGUGAAAGCCUUGGGCUUAAACCGAGGAUUGAAUUUGGAACGAUCAAGCUAGAGUACCGGAGAGGAAAGCGGAAUUCCUAGUGUAGCGGUGAAAUGCGUAGAUAUUAGGAAGAACACCAGUGGCGAAGGCGGCGUUCUGGAAUAAAACUGACGCUGAGGCGCGAAAGCGUGGGGAGCGAACAGGAUGAGAUACCCCAGUAGUC